rnacentral:sRNA from 1 species
UGAUGUCGUCAUCCCGGCGAAGGCCGGGAUCUCGCCGGUGAGAUCCCGGCCUUCGCCGGGAUGACGAAUUGG